UACGGAGGAUGCAAGCGAUAUCCGGAAUGAUUGGGCGUAAAGCGUCCGCAGGUGGUUGUGUGUGUCUAUUGUCAAAGCAUCAUGCUUAACAUGAUAAAGGCAGUAGAAACUACACGACUAGAGUGCGUUCUGGGCAGAGGGAAUUCCUGGUGUAGCGGUGAAAUGCGUAGAGAUCAGGAAGAACACCGGUGGCGAAAGCGCUCUGCUAGGCCGCAACUGACACUGAUUGACGAAAGCUAGGGGAGCGAAUGGG
rnacentral:rRNA from 1 species